CAUCUACCAUGAGUUGGAGAAAAUCUACUCGAUCCUAAAAGGUCAAAGAAAAGGUCAGAGAAAGCACAGGUCGGAAUUCCUCUGGAUCAGUCCAGAUCUCAGGGUUACGAUGCAGCACAAAGGCCGGGAUAACAGUCACAACUCCCUUUGGGAUAGUUACACCAUUGAUCUCAGUUGUUGUCUUACAAACCCGUUCAAUUCUCCCGGCUGCAGGGUAGAAUCGCAAGUUUUCAUUAAGCACCGCAUCAAGAUUGAGCAUCUACCAUGAGUUGGAGAAAAUCUACUCGUUCCUAAGAGGUCAAAGAAAAAGGUCAGAGAGAGCACAGUCGAGGACACUUAAUGGGAGGAAGCAGAAAUUCAGCUUUUCCAAAAGAGGAAUCAGGAAUGGACACAGAACUAUAGUGACGCUGCUCUUGGGGAGAGAUCAUAUAGCUGAGAACACUGCUGUCCAAAGGCCAAGGACAUAUUUACAUGUCAGCCAAGAUACGUGAAUGCAGAGGACUACUUUGGAUUACAGUGACCAGAGUUUUUUUGCUUUAAUAUUAAUAAAAUGGUUAACGAGGGCUUGUGGGGAAAUGUUUUUU